CGCCUUUCAUCUGCGGCGUCUAACCCUUAUAUUGGGGGUGUCCGCUUCGGCGGUCUAUGGCGAUAAACGCGCGUGUAAUAACCAGACCGGACCCGGGUGCGAAUCCCGGCGGCUCCACCAAUCUCCCGCUCAUUGGCGCGGCGCAUGGGGCCGACUAGCAUCGACGGAUGGCUAAAGGCGUAGCUUUCGCCCGAAUGGGCUUCGUUACCAGCCCACUCAAAGUAGUUGCCAAUGACAACUAUGCUGAAGAGGUGGCUCUCGCUGCAUAGCAGCGCGGGUAUCUCGCACUUAAGUCCUGAUCUCUAGCAAGGUCAGGCGGGGUUCGGGGGGCGCCUGGCAACAGAAGCCCCCCACU
rnacentral:tmRNA from 1 species